AAGCCAGAACAGACUUAGGAUCACAACACAACACAGAAUAUUAGCUGCUAUCACAACUGUGUUCCGGCCACUAAGAAAAUGGAGCCCUCGAAACUAUUCAUAAUGUCGGACAAUGCCACCGUUGCACCUGGACCUGUUGUUAAUGCGGCUGGUAAGAAGACAUUCCGAACCUGUUUCCGAAUAUUGGUCCUAUCUGUACAAGCCGUUACCCUUAUAUUGGUUAUUGUCACUUUAGGUGAGCUUAUCAGGAUGAUCAAUGAUCAAGGCUUGAGCAAUCAGUUGUCUUCAAUUACAGACAAGAUAAGAGAAUCAGCUGCUGUGAUUGCAUCUGCUGUGGGAGUAAUGAAUCAAGUUAUUCAUGGAGUAACGGUAUCCUUACCCCUACAAAUUGAGGGAAACCAAAAUCAAUUAUUAUCCACACUUGCCACAAUCUGCACAAACAGAAACCAAGUCUCAAACUGCUCUACAAACAUCCCCUUAGUUAAUGACCUUAGGUUUAUAAAUGGAAUCAAUAAGUUUAUCAUUGAAGAUUAUGCAA
rnacentral:misc_RNA from 1 species